AUUGAACGCUGGCGGCAGGCUUAACACAUGCAAGUCGAGCGGAGAUGAGGUGCUUGCACCUUAUCUUAGCGGCGGACGGGUGAGUAAUGCUUAGGAAUCUGCCUAUUAGUGGGGGACAACAUUCCGAAAGGAAUGCUAAUACCGCAUACGUCCUACGGGAGAAAGCAGGGGAUCUUCGGACCUUGCGCUAAUAGAUGAGCCUAAGUCGGAUUAGCUAGUUGGUGGGGUAAAGGCCUACCAAGGCGACGAUCUGUAGCGGGUCUGAGAGGAUGAUCCGCCACACUGGGACUGAGACACGGCCCAGACUCCUACGGGAGGCAGCAGUGGGGAAUAUUGGACAAUGGGGGGAACCCUGAUCCAGCCAUGCCGCGUGUGUGAAGAAGGCCUUAUGGUUGUAAAGCACUUUAAGCGAGGAGGAGGCUACUGAGACUAAUACUCUUGGAUAGUGGACGUUACUCGCAGAAUAAGCACCGGCUAACUUCGUGCCAGCAGCCGCGGUAA
rnacentral:rRNA from 1 species